GCCGAAACCUCCAGGCUUGUCAAAUGAAUCUGGCACAUGGAGGUUUCAAGGUAUACAAAUGGCCAAAUGGGUACCCACUGGUUUCUAGCUCAUUGGAAUUCUUUUGCUUUGAAUGCCCCUGUGAUUAGGUCUUUUUGCAAAUAGGAUGGAUGUCUGCAAGGCAAUCAGAGUACUUUAACAUACCCUGUUCAGUCUCUCCCUGUCCCUGGGCAGCAACAGGAAGGAACCCUCCUGCUCCAAGCACUCUUCCAAUGAAUGCAAGGAAUCUCAAUGAAUUGCUACAUCUGAGUGACUUGGGUUUUGACAUUGAGCAAAAGCAGUGGAGGAGCAGUUGAAGGCCCAAAAUGAGGAGGCAGUUGUUUAUAAGUUUGCAGUUAAGGAAAGCUCAUCUAUAUUGAUUUGGCUGUGCACGUUUCUUAUAGAAAGACUUUAAGCAGCUAUUGCAUUCAAGAAGCUAAGGACCAAUUCUCACAAUGAAGAAAUCAUAUCAAUCAACAAAGACUGUAAGGAGCUAUUGCAUUUGGAAGCUCAAUCAAGGCACUACUUUUAUGGUCAAGAGAGUGGAUGAUUUCACUGGUCACUCCCAUCAUCCCAUGUAUCUAGAGUUCUUGCAGAAAAUCUUUAUGUAUUUCGAAUUAAACUGUUUCUCAUUAAAAAAAAAAAGUAUUCAUAUUGUCAAGAGGCCUGAACAUUCUAAGUUGUUACCAAUUGACUGCGUAUUUUUUGAAGUGAUGGAUGAGAAAUAGAAGGGGCUGUAUUUGCUACUUGAAA